CUACGGGGUGCUGCAGUGGGGAAUAUUGGGCAAUGGGCGAAAGCCUGACCCAGCAACGCCGCGUGAAGGAAGAAGGUUUUCGGAUCGUAAACUUCUAUCCCAGGUGAAGAUAAUGACGGUAGCCUGGAAGGAAGCCCCGGCUAACUACGUGCCAGCAGCCGCGGUAAUACGUAGGGGGCAAGCGUUGUCCGGAAUGAUUGGGCGUAAAGGGCGCGUAGGCGGCCUUCUAAGUCCGAUGUGAAAGUCCUGCUUUUAAGGUGGGAAUUGCAUUGGAAACUGGAGGGCUUGAGUGCAGGAGAGGUAAGUGGAAUUCCCGGUGUAGCGGUGAAAUGCGUAGAGAUCGGGAGGAACACCAGUGGCGAAGGCGACUUACUGGACUGUAACUGACGCUGAGGCGCGAAAGUGUGGGGAGCAAACAGGAUUAGAUACCCUCGUAGUC
rnacentral:rRNA from 1 species